AUUUGAUUUGUCCACUCUAAAAAUCUAAGCCUCUACAAAUGUAGAUUGAGUUGAAUCACUUGAUGAUAGGAGAUCUCUAUUGCGUUAUUGCACAUUUGCCGAUGGAUAUAUAGUUAGUUGGAGAAGCAAAAAAUAGAGUGCAGUUGCAAUAUCAAGUGCAAAGACUAAAUACAUAUCAAUUACUUAAGAUGUUUGAGAACUUUGGCGGAUUCAAAGACUAAUCCAAGAUUAAUAGUUAACAGAUGAGAAAAAAAUGUUCUUACAUUGUAAAAAUAAGAUUGCUAUUAGUAUUGUUCGUAAUCCAGUUCAACAUGAUUGAACAAAGUACAUUGAAAUCUGUUGGAAUUGAUGAGAUGUUUCCUUAACACAUGGGAUACAUCUCGUUGAAGAAUCUCAUGAUUAUGAGA
rnacentral:misc_RNA from 1 species